UGCUUCCCCGGUCUUGAAGCAGGUCCUGCUGACUUGGACACUGGAUUUGGGUGGCCCUGAGGUGUCAGGGUGCCUUUAAAGGGGGCAGCUAAAAGGGAGAGAGACCCAAACACUUGCAACAAGAAGAGGCAAUGGAGAAGAUGCUAAAGACACUGGAGAUACUUGAUGAGGUCAUGAAGUCAACCACAGC
rnacentral:lncRNA from 1 species